rnacentral:rRNA from 1 species
UACGUAGGUGGCAAGCGUUGUCCGGAAUUAUUGGGCGUAAAGCGCGCGCAGGCGGUCUCUUAAGUCUGAUGUGAAAGCCCACGGCUCAACCGUGGAGGGUCAUUGGAAACUGGGAGACUUGAGUACAGAAGAGGAAAGCGGAAUUCCACGUGUAGCGGUGAAAUGCGUAGAGAUGUGGAGGAACACCAGUGGCGAAGGCGGCUUUCUGGUCUGUAACUGACGCUGAGGCGCGAAAGCGUGGGGAGCAAACAGG